rnacentral:rRNA from 1 species
AGAGUUUGAUCCUGGCUCAGGACGAACGCUGGCGGCGUGCUUAACACAUGCAAGUCGAACGGGGAUUAUCGAGCGGAAGGCUUCGGCUGGAAGGUUGGUAAUUCUAGUGGCGGACGGGUGAGUAACGCGUGAACAAUCUGUCCCAGACAGGGGAAUAACACUUGGAAACAGGUGCUAAUACCGCAUAAGACCACGGGGUCGCAUGGCCGAGGGGUAAAAGGAGCAAUCCGGUUUGGGGUGAGUUCGCGUCCGAUUAGAUAGUUGGCGGGGUAACGGCCCACCAAGUCGACGAUCGGUAGCCGAUCUGAGAGGAUGACCGGCCACAUUGGAACUGAGAGACGGUCCAAACUCCUACGGGAGGCAGCAGUGGGGAAUAUUGGGCAAUGGGCGAAAGCCUGACCCAGCAACGCCGCGUGAGUGAAGAAGGCCUUCGGGUUGUAAAGCUCUGUUAUAGGGGACGAAGAGCGUGACGGUACCCUAUAAGGAAGCCCCGGCUAACUACGUGCC